UGGCGUCGAGCGGCGGACGGGUGAGUAAUGCUUGGGAAUAUGCCUUAUGGUGGGGGACAACAGUUGGAAACGACUGCUAAUACCGCAUGAUGUCUACGGACCAAAGUGGGGGACCUUCGGGCCUCACGCCAUAAGAUUAGCCCAAGUGGGAUUAGCUAGUUGGUGAGGUAAUGGCUCACCAAGGCGACGAUCCCUAGCUGGUUUGAGAGGAUGAUCAGCCACACUGGGACUGAGACACGGCCCAGACUCCUACGGGAGGCAGCAGUGGGGAAUAUUGCACAAUGGGCGCAAGCCUGAUGCAGCCAUGCCGCGUGUGUGAAGAAGGCCUUCGGGUUGUAAAGCACUUUCAGUAAGGAGGAAAGGUUAGGUGUUAAUAGCACUUAGCUGUGACGUUACUUACAGAAGAAGCACCGGCUAACUCCGUGCCAGCAGCCGCGGUAAUACGGAGGGUGCGAGCGUUAAUCGGAAUUACUGGGCGUAAAGCGUACGCAGGCGGUUUGUUAAGCGAGAUGUGAAAGCCCCGGGCUCAACCUGGGAACUGCAUUUCGAACUGGCAAACUAGAGUGUGAUAGAGGGUGGUAGAGUUUCAGGUGUAGCGGUGAAAUGCGUAGAGAUCUGAAGGAAUACCGAUGGCGA
rnacentral:rRNA from 1 species